rnacentral:rRNA from 1 species
AUUCCUGGUGUAGCGGUGGAAUGCGCAGAUAUCAGGAGGAACACCGGUGGCGAAGGCGGGUCUCUGGGCAGUAACUGACGCUGAGGAGCGAAAGCGUGGGGAGCGAACAGGAUUAGAUACCCUGGUAGUCCACGCCGUAAACGGUGGGUACUAGGUGUGGGUUUCCUUCCUUGGGAUCCGUGCCGUAGCUAACGCAUUAAGUACCCCGCCUGGGGAGUACGGCCGCAAGGCUAAAACUCAAAGAAAUUGACGGGGGCCCGCACAAGCGGCGGAGCAUGUGGAUUAAUUCGAUGCAACGCGAAGAACCUUACCUGGGUUUGACAUGCACAGGACGCCGGCAGAGAUGUCGGUUCCCUUGUGGCCUGUGUGCAGGUGGUGCAUGGCUGUCGUCAGCUCGUGUCGUGAGAUGUUGGGUUAAGUCCCGCAACGAGCGCAACCCUUGUCUCAUGUUGCCAGCGGGUAAUGCCGGGGACUCGUGAGAGACUGCCGGGGUCAACUCGGAGGAAGGUGGGGAUGACGUCAAGUCAUCAUGCCCCUUAUGUCCAGGGCUUCACACAUGCUACAAUGGCCGGUACAAAGGGCUGCGAUGCCGUGAGGUGGAGCGAAUCCUUUCAAAGCCGGUCUCAGUUCGGAUCGGGGUCUGCAACUCGACCCCGUGAAGUCGGAGUCGCUAGUAAUCGCAGAUCAG